GGUUCGGUGGUGUAGUUGGUUAUCACGUCAGUCUAACAAUCAAUCUCGAGUUGAGUUAGUGCACUGAAGGUCCCGAGUUCAAACCUCGGCUGAAUCA